UACGUAGGGUGCGAGCGUUGUCCGGAAUUAUUGGGCGUAAAGAGCUCGUAGGCGGUUUGUUGCGUCGGCCGUGAAAACCUGCAGCUUAACUGUGGGCCUGCGGUCGAUACGGGCAGACUUGAGUUCGGUAGGGGAGACUGGAAUUCCUGGUGUAGCGGUGAAAUGCGCAGAUAUCAGGAGGAACACCGGUGGCGAAGGCGGGUCUCUGGGCCGAUACUGACGCUGAGGAGCGAAAGCGUGGGGAGCAAACAGG
rnacentral:rRNA from 1 species